UACGAAGGGGGCUAGCGUUGCUCGGAAUUACUGGGCGUAAAGCGCACGUAGGCGGCUUUCUAAGUCGGGGGUGAAAUCCUGGAGCUCAACUCCAGAACUGCCUUCGAUACUGGAGAGCUCGAGUCCGGGAGAGGUGAGUGGAACUGCGAGUGUGGAGGUGAAAUUCGUAGAUAUUCGCAAGGGCACCAGUGGCGAAGGCGGCUCACUGGCCCGGUACUGACGCUGAGGUGCGAAAGCGUGGGGAGCAAACAGG
rnacentral:rRNA from 1 species